AGCAGCGUAGCGCAUUGGAAGCGUGCUGAGCCCAUAAUCCAGAGGUCGGUGGAUCGAAACCACCCACUGCUA